rnacentral:rRNA from 1 species
UACAGAGGGGGCAAGCGUUGUUCGGAAUUACUGGGCGUAAAGCGCACGUAGGCGGCUUGUUAAGUCAGGGGUGAAAUCCUGGAGCUCAACUCCAGAACUGCCUUCGAUACUGAGAGUCUCGAGUCCGAGAGAGGUGAGUGGAACUGCGAGUGUAGAGGUGAAAUUCGUAGAUAUUCGCAAGAACACCAGUGGCGAAGGCGGCUCACUGGCUCGGUACUGACGCUGAGGUGCGAAAGCGUGGGGAGCAAACAGG